UCUAUUCUCUUAGCCUUACAA
rnacentral:siRNA from 1 species